rnacentral:rRNA from 1 species
ACGGGAGGCAGCAGUGGGGGAUAUUGCGCAAUGGGGGGAACCCUGACGCAGCAACGCCGCGUGAAGGAAGACGGUUUUCGGAUUGAACUUCUUUAAGUGUGGAAGAAGAUGACGGUACACACAGAAUAAGCCACGGCUAACUACGUGCCAGCAGCCGCGGUAAUACGUAGGUGGCGAGCGUUGUCCGGAUUUACUGGGUGUAAAGGGCGUGUAGGCGGGAUUACAAGUCAGAUGUGAAAUACCGAGGCUUAACUUCGGGGCUGCAUUUGAAACUGUAGUUCUUGAGUGCUGGAGAGGAAAGCGGAAUUCCUAGUGUAGCGGUGAAAUGCGUAGAUAUUAGGAGGAACACCAGUGGCGAAGGCGGCUUUCUGGACAGUAACUGACGCUGAGGCGCGAAAGUGUGGGGAGCAAACAGGAUUAGAUACCCUGGUA